UUCCGACGACUCAGACUCGCACGUAGUCAGCAGGAAAGAAGAAGAAGUGGGAGAGAAACAGAACCAAAUGUGGGAAUAAAGAUGGCAGCUUCCAUUUCUAAGCUUACAAGGGUCAGUGUUUGCAGUGGAGGGACUCUCUUAACCAUCCAUAAGCAUUGGGUCUCACGAUCUUCCUUCUCUUCCUUCUCCACCUUUGCGUCUGCAAUCUCCUCUGUCUCUGAAACCCCAUCUACACCCGCUUCCCAAUCUCAAGACAAAGAUAGAGUGUCAAGAUGGUCAAAAUGGUUUUUGUUCCUUCCUGGAGCUAUCACUUUUGGCCUUGGGACUUGGCAGAUUUUCAGAAGGCAA